rnacentral:rRNA from 1 species
GAUGAACGCUGGCGGCGUGCCUAAUACAUGCAAGUCGAGCGAACAGACGAGGAGCUUGCUCCUCUGACGUUAGCGGCGGACGGGUGAGUAACACGUGGAUAACCUACCUAUAAGACUGGGAUAACUUCGGGAAACCGGAGCUAAUACCGGAUAAUAUAUUGAACCGCAUGGUUCAAUAGUGAAAGACGGUUUUGCUGUCACUUAUAGAUGAAUCCGCGCCGCAUUAGCUAGUUGGUAAGGUAACGGCUUACCAAGGCAACGAUGCGUAGCCGACCUGAGAGGGUGAUAGGCCACACUGGAACUGAGACACGGUCCAGACUCCUACGGGAGGCAGCAGUAGGGAAUCUUCCGCAAUGGGCGAAAGCCUGACGGAGCAACGCCGCGUGAGUGAUGAAGGUCUUCGGAUCGUAAAACUCUGUUAUUAGGGAAGAACAAAUGUGUGAGUAACUAUGCACGUCUUGACGGUACCUAAUCAGAAAGCCACGGCUAACUACGUGCCAGCCGCCGCCGUAAUAC